CCUACGGGGGGCAGCAGUGAGGAAUAUUGGUCAAUGGGCGCGAGCCUGAACCAGCCAAGUCGCGUGCAGGAAGAAUGUCCUAUGGAUUGUAAACUGCUUUUGUAUGGGAAUAAAGUGAGGUACGUGUACCUUAUUGUAUGUACCAUUCGAAUAAGGAUCGGCUAACUCCGUGCCAGCAGCCGCGGUAAUACGGAGGAUCCAAGCGUUAUCCGGAUUUAUUGGGUUUAAAGGGUGCGUAGGCGGACCCUUAAGUCAGUGGUGAAAGUUUGCAGCUCAACUGUAAAAUUGCCAUUGAAACUGAGGGUCUUGAGUGUAAAUAAGGUAGGCGGAAUGUGUUGUGUAGCGGUGAAAUGCAUAGAUAUAACACAGAACCCCGAUUGCGAAGGCAGCUUACUGGGAUACAACUGACGCUGAGGCACGAAAGCGUGGGGAUCAAACAGGAUUAGAUACCCCUGUAGUC
rnacentral:rRNA from 1 species